CAUACUCCGGAAAGCAUCAGAGAUGGUGCCCCCCUUGUGGUCGGUGUACAGGUGGUGCAUGGCGGUUGUCAGUUGGUGUCGUGAGAUGUUGGGAUAAGUCCCGCAACGAGCGCAACCCUUGUCCCGUGUUGCCAGCAGGCCCUUGUGGUGCUGGGGACUCACGGGAGACCGCCGGGGUCAACUCGGAGGAAGGUGGGGACGACGUCAAGUCAUCAUGCCCCUUAUGUCUUGGGCUGCACACGUGCUACAAUGGCCGGUACAAUGAGCUGCGAUACCGUGAGGUGGAGCGAAUCUCAAAAAGCCGGUCUCAGUUCGGAUUGGGGUCUGCAACUCGACCCCAUGAAGUCGGAGUCGCUAGUAAUCGCAGAUCAGCAUUG
rnacentral:rRNA from 1 species